rnacentral:rRNA from 1 species
GAUGAACGCUGGCGGCGUGCCUAAUACAUGCAAGUCGAGCGAACGGACGAGAACCUUGCUUCUCUGCUGUUAGCGGCGGACGGGUGCGUAACACGUGGAUAACCUACCUAUCACACUGGGAUAACUUCGUGAAACCGUAGCUAAUACCGGAUAAUAUUUUGAACCGCAUGGUUCAAAAGUGAAAGACGGUCUUGCUGUCACUUAUAGAUGGAUCCGCGCUGCAUUAGCUAGUUGGUAAGGUAACGGCCUACCAAGGCAACGAUGCAUAGCCGACCUGAGAGAGUGUUUGGCCACACUGGAGGUGAGACCCGGGCACGAUUCCUACGGGAGGCAGCAGUAUGGAAUCGGCCGCAGUGAGGGAAGACCGGAUCGAGCGGCGCCGCGGGAGGGAGGAGGGAGGUGGGAUGGGAAACACCUCCUAGUAGGGGAGAGAGGAUGUGUAAUGGAGUGUGCUCUGCUUGGCGGAAGGUAGGCAGAGAGCAACGGAGAGCUCAGUG